rnacentral:piRNA from 1 species
UCUUUGGGUGACCUUUAUAAGCCACGGCAAC